UAGAAUGGCUCAUAAAUAGAUGCAAUCGAUUUAUUGGUUAGAGGUUCAAUGGGAGAUUUCGCUUCCAAAGCCAGCACAGCUCUUAUCUAUUCCGGAUGCUUUUACACAACCUUCAAAGUGCCCACAAUAGCUAUAUUUAAGAUGUUUAACUGGAUGUGUAUACACUAUCUUUUUGCAAGUAAUGAGUAAAAGUUUGGUUUUUAGCUGACUUUAUAUAUUUGUUUACGCCCACAAUUACAAACAAAUUAAAAGAAGAAGACGGCAAUGUAUGUUUAAAAUCUGUGCACACCCAUAAAGAAAAAGAAGAAGACAACCGAGCACAAUGCAUACAUAUGUGAACCGAUGAUAGCCGGCCUUUGUUCAGAUUGAUAAAGGAUGGCAACAACAGGAAGUCACAAGACAAAAAACCACUGUUGUUUUGUCUUCGCCACCUCAG